UGGUUCAGUAGUAGCCGUGAAUGGAAGUCC
rnacentral:piRNA from 1 species